AUUGAACGCUGGCGGCAUGCUUUACACAUGCAAGUCGGACGGCAGCAUAAAAGAGCUUGCUCUUUUGAUGGCGAGUGGCGAACGGGUGAGUAAUGCAUCGGAACGUACCGAGUAGUGGGGGAUAACUGUCCGAAAGGGUGGCUAAUACCGCAUAUUCUCUGAGGAGGAAAGCAGGGGACCUUAGGGCCUUGCGCUAUUUGAGCGGCCGAUGUCUGAUUAGCUAGUUGGUGGGGUAAGAGCCCACCAAGGCGACGAUCAGUAGCGGGUCUGAGAGGAUGAUCCGCCACACUGGGACUGAGACACGGCCCAGACUCCUACGGGAGGCAGCAGUGGGGAAUUUUGGACAAUGGGCGCAAGCCUGAUCCAGCCAUGCCGCGUGUAUGAAGAAGGCCUUCGGGUUGUAAAGUACUUUUGUCAGGGAAGAAAAGCCUGAGGAUAACACCCUCAGGUCAUGACGGUACCUGAAGAAUAAGCACCGGCUAACUACGUGCCAGCAGCCGCGGUAAUACGUAGGGUGCGAGCGUUAAUCGGAAUUACUGGGCGUAAAGCGAGCGCAGACGGUUAUUUAAGCAAGAUGUGAAAGCCCCGGGCUCAACCUGGGAACUGCGUUUUGAACUGGGUAACUAGAGUGUGUCAGAGGGGGGUAGAAUUCCACGUGUAGCAGUGAAAUGCGUAGAGAUGUGGAGGAAUACCGAUGGCGAAGGCAGCCCCCUGGGAUAACACUGACGUUCAUGCUCGAAAGCGUGGGUAGCAAACAGG
rnacentral:rRNA from 1 species